UGCAAAAAUUUAAGUACCUGAGAUGGGACACCAAAGGAGGACGGGAAGCCAAGAGGAGGGAGUUAAGAAUCUUCGCAUUCUUGUUGCCUGCUAUUUCUGUCCCUGUUGAUGCAACAGCAGUUCUUUAAGUAGCAGCAGCAGGUCAUUUGGGUAUCUCCCACACUCCCUGCACCAGCUGCCAGGUGCCUCUGCUGCAAGAUGCACCUGCUGUGCAUGCGCACACUGUAGUUCUCAGGAAGCUAUGGCUCUGCCCUCUGCACACCCAGCCUCUUAAGGCUCAGGCCCCGUUUCCCUUUUGCUUCUGUAUUUUUAUGUGAGCAACCAGGCAAGACCACUCAUUACAUAUUUGGAAGCGUUUUGCCCUUUGAAAGCAGGUGUGUUGAUGAUUAGACACCGAUGUCAAGAGAGCACUGGAGGGCUCAGGCCAGGCAGAGAUGGACGGCUGUCAAUUAUGACCAAUUGCCAUGAAAGGGAGGACGUUCCCUGGUGCUCGCCGGUGGUCAGAAGAUGCAAGGCUGACACGUGAGCAUCCUAUUCACCCUCAGCCUCAAAGGGAAGAAAGAAGAGGCCUCAGCUCAGCUCAGCAUCAGGCUUUCGCCACAAAGGAUCUGAGAGCCCCGCAGAGUUAUCAGCGGCUUUGCUUCUAACUGCCUGGAGCAUAAUCUUGGAACGGUACAGUACUCGGCUCUAAUGACCUGGUGUGUUGUCUGCAUCAUGAAUGAAAAGGAGGAUGAUGUUCCAAGCAUCGGCUUAAGAGAAUACUGGGCUGGACCAGUUCCCAGGGCUCAUACGCGCACACACACGCACACACAUGCAUAUACUCGCACACGUGCACAAACGAGUGUUCGCAGAGGCACUCACUGACAGGUUGCCAGUUGCAGUCAAGGUAGUGUUCUUUUAGUAACAAAGGGCUGAAAAGAAUCCAAGUGUCCACAAAUAGGAAAUGGACUAAACAAACUGGGGCACACUAAUAAAAAGGAAUGAGGCGAGUUCUCACCAAGCUGAGGGGCAAAAGUGACUGUUCCAAGGAUUUAGGUUAGUUUACAUAGGUUGGAGCGUCUAUUGUAAGCAUGGAUCACAAAAAGAGAUUUAGGGGCUGGUGAGAUGGCUCAGUGAAUAAGAAUGCUUGCUCUGAAAGCAAGAAGGUCUGAGUUCGAAUCCUCAGAACCCAUGUGAAAUGAAAGAAAGCAUGGCUAUCAUCAUUGCCUGCCAUACCAGCACUGAGAGGCAAAGAAAAAGGGAUCUUUGGAGGUUGCUGGCCAGCCAGUCUCACCACGCACGCAUGCACUCACGUACUCACGUACUCAUGCGCUCACGCGCACGCGCAUGCGCACGCACACCAGAUGGGGUUUGGGCCGGAAACUGUUUUGUCCUGCUGCCACAGUGCUCCGUGAUGAAUGAGUGAAAGGAAGUCAGGAACCACACAAAGGAAGAAAGAAGAACAGCCCUGAGACUAAGUAGAGCAUUGCACAAGGAGAGGAUGGAACUGGAGCUUUGUGAACACUGACUAGAACCUUUACCGAGUGGGCGUGAUCCGCAAUUUGUGUUCCGUUUAACUAUUGGCCAAAGAGAAAAGAGGUGUGAAAUAUAUACACGCAUGGGUUGGCAGGGGUGCGAAUGCUCAGUUUUCAUGGUAGGAGUCAAAUGGAAAACGCUUGAGGCUGAACAUAGAAUAAAAACACAAGCUAGUUAACCGAGGAAGGGCUGGAGAGGUGGCUCAGUGAUUGAGAGCGCUUGCUACUCCUUCAGAGGACCUAAGUUCGGUUCCAGCACCUGUAUCAGAUGGCUCACAAUGUUGCUAUGUCUCCAGGGCAUCCACUGUCUCUGGAUUUCAAGGACAUUUAACGUGUAUACAAAUACCCACAUGCGCACGCACACACACCUAAACAUAAUUAUUAUUUUCUUCUCCCUUUUUCUUUUUUCUUUCUUUCUUUUUUUGAGACAGGGUUUUUCUGUAUAGUCCUAGCUGUCCUGGACUCACUCUGUAGACCUGGCUGGCCUCGAACUCAGAGAUCCACUUACCUCUGCUUCUCAAGUGCUGGGCUGCACAUAAUUAUUGAAAACACAAUGAAUCAAGAACAGUAGGCCAGUGAGAUGGUUCAGUGGGUAGAGGUGCUGCUGACAAGCUGGACCACCUGAGUUUGAUCCCCAGAAACCCAUGUGGUGGAAAGAAAGAGCUAGUUGGGGCAAGUUAUCCUUUGACCUACACAUGCAUGUCAUAGCAUUCAUACCACCCCCACACAUAAGUAACAAUUUAAAAUAAACGAAUAAAAAGGACUAAGGAAGCCAAAAUAGAUAAAACAUAAAACAUGGUGCCUUUGGGAAUGGCUACUUUAGUUAUAAAUAUUAAUACCUCACAUAUUUUUAAAAGUCAGCUAAGUAGCAACAAAAUGUUUGAAACGUAACUAAACAAUGCAGUAAAAGUCUUUGUGCAUUUUCAUACCACUUACAAAUCAGUUGUCCAUAGUUAAACAUCUUCAUGGAGGCGGUAUAAACCAUCUAAUACGGAUACACAUGCGUGUUUAUGUUAUCUGUAUGUAGAGAGACUGAUGGGUGGAUGAUCAGAAAAGCAUCUGAAACAGGUCACUUUAAACCCAUGGCCUCUAGGCUCUUCACAGUGAGGCUUGCCUUCUGCAGCAGGAAUGCCUGUGUUGUCUGAAACACUGUAGUUAGCUCCAUAAUCGGAAAAAUACACAGCUUAAAUCAGAAAAGAAGAUCUAGGCCAGAGUAGCUUCCUUCCCACCUACACACCCACUAAUUAGUGCUAUUAUGCAGCACUGGACACAGAACUCAGAGCCUUGUGUAUGCUCCUCUGACAGUCUACCAACAGAACUGCGUCCACCAUGCAUGGGAACCUUUUCCACCAAGGAAUGUGUGGCUUAAGCAAGCCUAUAUGUCUUCUCCCAUCCUUACACUUGCUGCCCCGGUCUGGAAAAGGACACAGGAAGGGGCAGCCAUCUUCUCUAAUCUAGUUAGCACCCAAGGACAUACAUACAGGGAAUUCUUUCAUCAUCUCAUUUUUACUAGAGCCUAAUUCUGGCUGGACCUGGAAAUACACGCGCUUCUGUUUCUCACCCAC
rnacentral:lncRNA from 1 species